rnacentral:misc_RNA from 1 species
UUUCCGUAGGUGAACCUGCGGAAGGAUCAUUGUUGAAUGAAACACUUCUGGCUUUAUGCUGUUGUGCUGGCCCUUUGGGCAAUGUGCACACGGCUCUGGUCACUUGUUUCUUCUGUUCCACCUGUGCACUGCCUGUAGACACGCUGUGUCUAUGAUAUUUGUUAACACACAACAAUGUUAGUUGGCAUGUUAUAUAUAAUAAUAAAAUAUACAACUCUCAACAACGGAUCUCUUGGCUCUC